AGCAAACGGAAAUCCCAAGUCGUAUUUGUGACGCAGCAGUUAUUUAUCACUGCAGGAAUACUCAUAUUUUGAGGUAGAAACUCUGGAAAUAACUGUAAAGGAAGAACAAAGACCUCUAUCUUCUUAUACCACUGGGCUGUUCUAAGAAGACAUGCUUAUCGGGAGCCCUCGGGGCAUUCGUGUUAAUCCCCGGGAAAAGAUGACAUCAAAUGGAAGCAGAGCAAGGGAUUAUGGGGGAUGUUGCGGAGCAUGAUCAACUGCUGCUGAGGACUGGAUGGACAGGAAGGAACCCUCCUCAGGGUGACCCAGUAAUUAAGGAGAUGAUCUGUCAGCCAGGAGGAUCGGGAUCAGACCCCUCUGACAGCAACCCGCUGAAGAGUCCUUCUGCAAAUUAUACCAGGUGCUGUGCUGACAUUCCAGUCUGAACUC